UCAUAUGUGGUCCGCCGCAAUGGCUGCAGC
rnacentral:sRNA from 1 species